rnacentral:ncRNA from 1 species
AAGGAUAGCCCCCUCGUACGAAAGGAGCUGGGUAUAUUAACCUAUGGUUUACCUGUUGUUUAUGUGCCCAAUAUAUUCUCAAUAAACUAAUAUAGAUGAGCGAAUAGGGAUGUUACUUUCACUUAAGUAAAUAUUUUGUAUCAUAGCAUAGGCACGGCAGGAACGCUAAGUUAGUUAGAGAUAAGUGCUGAAUGCAUCUAGGCACGAAGCUUACCUUAAGA